AAAAAAGGGUGCCAUUCAAGCCAGCACACGGAGGUAAUGCUCAAGAUGCAAGCUUGAUUUCCAAAAUCUCAACACUUGGAGCAAAUUGGUAAGUCUGCAAUUUUGUCUAUUCUGGGAGCUGUGCAAAUGCAAUGCCUGUUGGAGCAGACACCAGUUGCAGGUAAUUGGGUAAUUACUUGGCAGGGCAGUAUUCAGCUGUAGGUAAUGGGGUAGAUAGGUCCCCUCCCCCUUUCCUUCCUUCCCUUUCUCCUUCCUGGCUGUGAGGCUGAAGCCCCAGGAGUAUGAGAUCUGUUAGGUGCUGGUUUUUCUCAAGACUAGUGGUUGGAGGAUUCCCACUACGGCUGUGCUGCUGGGUCUUUUCCUCAGGUGUUUACUACUUUAGCGGUUUCCAGCAGUGAUCGCUGAGAGGGCACGUUGUUUCAGGCGUGCUGGUAAGUAGUGGAAGUAAGAAGACCUUCGGGUCUAACUAUCCUCCUCCCUUAUCGGUAAGUGUUUGGUCCUCUUUCCCCAGAUGUGGGUUACACAUUUGGU